UACGUAGGGGGGCUAGCGUUGUCCGGAAUCAUUGGGCGUAAAGAGCGUGUAGGCGGCCCGGUAAGUCCGCUGUGAAAGUCGGGGGCUCAACCCUCGAAUGCCGGUGGAUACUGUCGGGCUAGAGUGCGGAAGAGGCGAGUGGAAUUCCUGGUGUAGCGGUGAAAAUGCGCAGAUAUCAGGAGGAACACCAAUGGCGAAGGCAGCUCGCUGGGACGGUACUGACGCUGAGGCGCGAAAGCGUGGGGAGCAAACAGG
rnacentral:rRNA from 1 species